rnacentral:lncRNA from 1 species
AGAAGCCUGACGCGAGCUCCUCGGCAAAUCUGAGUGGGGACUGCCAAGGACGUCAAUAAGCUCCUGCACGGUGUUAGCCUAGUCUACAUGAGAGCCGGGAGCGAACCGUAGGGUCCUUUUCUCCAGUGCUCUGCCCGGUUGCCCCGCCUUCCUCAAGUCAUUUAUCCAAUGAGAGAGCGAUAGGCGGCUACCUAAGGACGCUUCUGCUUUCCCUGAGUCUCGGAAAGAUUAGCCAAUUAAUGGGAACUUGAUGGUUGCUAAGAGACCUUUGAGCUUGGCUCCACCCAUGCUCAGGAUUGUAGCCAAUGAAAAUCUGUACUUUGGAGUGUUGCCGCGAAACCCGUGAGAUUUAUUCCGCCGCCUGAAUGUUUCGGCGCCUGCGCAGAUUGGGGAAGGUUCUGGAAGGUAGCGGAGCUGCCGCCAUUUUGCGGGAAGAGGAGCGGCUCCGGUUGUAGCGGGGCUCUUACUGCUGAGUCUCUGGAAGGGAGCCGUGGUUCGCGUCCCGCGACACACCCAAAGGAACGGAGGGAACCGGGACCCCCCCCUGCGGGGACCCGGAACUGACCUGUGGUGGACAGACUUGGGAAAGACCAUUGCUAGAUGUGAAAGCUUGGGGUAGGCGAGAAGUCCUACUGUACCUUCCUAGACAGAAAGGCUUCAAAGUGGGACUGGUUAAGCCUGUCUUAAUCAUGGUCUUUCUGAGUUACCCAAACUCUGGACAGGGUCUAUAU